rnacentral:lncRNA from 1 species
ACUAUUUUUCAUGGUAAAUGAGCAUCUUUCAAUUGUUUUUAUCAAAUAAUUUAGUAAAACUUCAUAAUACUCCCUAAAUCGAUGGAAUAACCACUAUAAAGUUAUUAUUUUCUUGAUAAACGGAGACGGCAAAGGCUCCAAACCUCUUUGAACAUCAUCAUAUGUUAGUGCAGAAUGCAACUAGGCAUUAAAACAAUAUUGUCAUAUUUUUUGAAAUUUUCUCAAAAUCUAUGGGCUAACUAACCCCUACAAAAAUAUUAAGUUUUUGGUAAAUACUAUAUAUACGGAAGCCUAUAAUCUUUAGUGUUGUUUUAAAAUUUCUAUCAUAUUCUACAUUUGUAUUAAUGUAUGCUAAACUACUUUUCAUGGUAAAUGAGCAUCUUUCAAUUGUUUUUAACAAAUAAUUUAAUAAAACUUCAUAAUACUCCCUAAAUCGAUGGAAUAACCACUAUAAAAUUACUAUUUUCUUGGUAAACGGAGACGACAAAGGCUCCAAACCUCUUUGAACAUCAUCAUAUGUUAGUGCAGGAUGAAACUAGGCAUUAAAACAAUAUUGUCAUAUUUUUUGAAAUUUUCUCAAAAUCUAUGGGUCCCCUACACAAAUAAUGAGUUUUUGGUAAAUACUUUAUAAACUGAAGCCUAUAAUCUUUAGUGUUGUUUUAAAAUUUAUACCAUAUUCUACAUUUGUAUUCAUGUAUUUUAAACUCUUUUUCAUGGUAAAUGAGCAUCUUUCAAUUGUUUUUAUCAAAUAAUUUACUAAAACUUCAUAAUACUCCCUAAAUCGAUGGAAUAACCACUAUAAAGUUAUUAUUUUCUUGAUAAACGGAGACGGCAAAGGCUCCAAACCUCUUUGAACAUCAUCAUAUGUUAGUGCAGAAUGCAACUAGGCAUUAAAACAAUAUUGUCAUAUUUUUUGAAAUUUUCUCAAAAUCUAUGGGCUAACUAACCCCUACAAAAAUAUUAAGUUUUUGGUAAAUACUUUAUAUACUGAAGCCUAUAAUCUUUAGUGUUGUUUUAAAAUUUCUAUCAUAUUCUACAUUUGUAUUAAUGUAUGCUAAAAUCUUUUUCACGGUAAAUGAGCAUCGUUCAAUUGUUUUCAUCAAUUAAUUUAGUAAAACUUCAUAAUACCUCCUAAAUCGAUGAAAUAACCACUAUA